rnacentral:rRNA from 1 species
AUUACCGGCCACAUGGCUCUGAGGAACCCUUUCAGCGCUCUGAAUUCAUGUGACCUUUGAACAAGGUAGGGCCUGGUUAGUACUUGGAUGGGGGGGCCUAUCAGGAGUACCGGGGGCUGUUAGCU